rnacentral:rRNA from 1 species
GUUGAACCUUUUCUUCCGGGAAAGGGGGAGUCAUCAGUGAGAUACCACUCCUGGUAAGCUAGAGCGCUCAUUUUUAACCGUUAUCCGGUAAAAAGACAGUUUCAGGCGGGCAGUUUGACUGGGGCAGUCACCUCCCAAAAGGUAAUGGAGGUGUACAAAGGUUCUCUCAGGCUGGACGGAAAUCAGCCAUAGAGUGUAAAAGCAUAAGAGAGCUUGACUGCGAGACGGACAUGUCAAGCAGAGACGAAAGUCGGUUUUAGUGAUCCGACGGUGCUGAGUGGAAAGGCCGUCGCUCAACGGAUAAAAGUUACUCUAGGGAUAAC